CCCUUAGAUGUUCUGGGCUGCACGCGCGCUACACUGAUGCACUCAACGAGUUUACGACCUUGCCCGAUAGGGUUGGGUAAUCUUUUUAAAAUGCAUCGUGAUGGGGAUAGAUUAUUGCAAUUAUUAAUCUUCAACGAGGAAUUCCUAGUAAGCGCGAGUCAUCAGCUUGUGCUGAUUACGUCCCUGCCCUUUGUACACACCGCCCGUCGCUCCUACCGAUUGAGUGCUCAGGUGAAUAAUUCGGACUGCAGCAAUGUUUGGAUCCCGAACGUUGCAGCGGAAAGUUUAGUGAACCUUAUCACUUAGAGGAAGGAGAAGUCGUAACA
rnacentral:rRNA from 1 species